rnacentral:rRNA from 1 species
CACGUAGGGCGCAAGCGUUGUCCGGAAUUAUUGGGCGUAAAGAGCUCGUAGGUGGUUUGUUACGUCCGCUGUGAAAUCCUAGGGCUUAACCCUGGGCUUGCAGUGGAUACGGGCAGACUAGAGGUAGGUAGGGGAGAAUGGAAUUCCUGGUGUAGCGGUGAAAUGCGCAGAUAUCAGGAGGAACACCGGUGGCGAAGGCGGGUCUCUGGGCAGAGACUGACGCUGAGGCGCGACAGCGUGGGGGAGCAAACAGG